GACGAACGCUGGCGGCGUGCCUAAGACAUGCAAGUCGAGCGGAUCUUCAUUAGCUUGCUUUUGAAGAUCAGCGGCGGACGGGUGAGUAACACGUGGGCAACCUGCCUGUAAGACUGGAGUAACUUCGGGAAACCGGAGCUAAUACCGGAUAAUCCUUUCCCUCACAUGAGGGAAAGCUGAAAGACGGUUUCGGCUGUCACUUACAGAUGGUCCCGCGGCGCAUUAGCUAGUUGGUGAGGUAACGGCUCACCAAGGCGACGAUGCGUAGCCGACAUGAGAGGGUGAUCGGCCACACUGGGACUGAGACACGGCCCAGACGCCUACGGGAGGCAGCAGUAGGGAAUCUUCCGCAAUGGACGAAAGUCUGACGGAGCAACGCCGCGUGAGCGACGAAGGCCUUCGGGUCGUAAAGCUCUGUUGUCAGGGAAGAACAAGUAUCGGAGUAACUGCCGGUACCUUGACGGUACCUGACCAGAAAGCCACGGCUAACUACGUGCCAGCCGCCGCGGUAAGAC
rnacentral:rRNA from 1 species